AAAAACUUGUGAUUUUAGUGUUUUUCAAAUUCCGUACAAUUGGACUUUAACUUCAUGCUGUGCUUUAUCAAACAGUCUGGGAGUUCAGCUAAGAUAUCCCCAAAGUUUUCCAGAGUUAUGAACAGGAAGCCAAUAUCUGAAUGA